rnacentral:rRNA from 1 species
AUGAAACUUGUGUGUCAAUUGUGGUUUCCCUCCUCCUCUAUUUAUAUAUGGAGAGGGGAGGGUGGGGUGGAAGGAGGCAUCCCAACAAGGGGGUACCCCCACCAACUAUGUCCCACAAAAAGGGGAGGGGAUGUCCCCAAAGGGGGGACUACCAAACAUUGCCCCACAAAAAGGUGGGUCGCCCCAAGUGCACCCCCUCUAGCCGCACCACAUGGAUGGGGCUUCCCUCAAAGGGAGGGGGCUUCCCAACACUUUCCACACAAAAGGGAGGGCUGUCCCCCAAAGCAUGUGCCCCUCCAACACAUCUCAGAAAUUGGGAAGGUUGUCCCCCAAUGGGGAAAUCCCCUCCCAACACUUGGUCCUUUGUGUGCGUUACCCCUUGGUGCCUCACAAAAAAUUCCUAGAGGCCCCGAAACCAUUCCAGAACCCUCCAAGAAAUUCUGGACGCACUUCGAAACUUUUCCUAGUACUCAGCAGAUUGAUGGCCCUUAA